rnacentral:misc_RNA from 1 species
UUUCCGUAGGUGAACCUGCGGAAGGAUCAUUGUUGAUGUCCCAAAAUGGGUGAACGGUGAACAUGUCGGACCAUUCAUAGAGGUGAACAACACUGGGUGCUUCAUUCGAGAUAUGAUCCUAUGACAUGUGUUGGUUAGCACUGGGGUCCACCUUAAGUGAGUAAUCAAGUUGCACUGAAUGUGCUAAGGGAAGCUAGGUGAAGUAACCUUUUCCAACAUGUAUCAACUCAUGUUAGGGGUGGGGUAUCAAGCGUUAAACAUCAAUAUGACUCUUGACAACGGAUAUCUUGGCUCUUGCAUCGAUGAAGAACGCAGCGAAAUGCGAUAUGUUAUGUGAAUUGCAGAAUCCUGUGAACCAUUGAAUUUUUGAACGCAAGUUGCGCCUGAUGCCCACUUAUAGGUUGAGGGCAUGCCUGCUUGGGUGUCACAUAUGGUACUUUACCACCAACAUCCUCCUUGGACAAAUUGGUGGUUCAGAAGGUUAAGUUGGGGAUGUGGUGGGUUAUGGCCUCCCGUGUGCCAUGCAUGGUCGGCUGAAAUUCAAACCCUAAGGUGACAUGUUCUGUGCUGGGUUGCGGUUUGCUGUAUGUGUCAUCCAUGGAGAAACCUUGUUGGCCCCAUGAAGUAGUCCCACAUUUUUUUUGAAACGUAUUGGAAUAUCGUGG